rnacentral:rRNA from 1 species
UAGUCCUAGCAGUAAACGGUGUGCGCUUGGUGUGGGAGGACUCGACCCCUCCUGUGCCGGAGCUAACGCGUUAAGCGCACCGCCUGGGAAGUACGGUCGCAAGAUUAAAACUCAAAGAAAUUGACGGGGACCCGCACAAGCGGUGGAGUAUGUGGCUUAAUUCGAUGCAACGCGAAGAACCUUACCUGGGCUUGACAUGCCGUCGCAGAUCCUGAAAGGGAUUGUCAGUUCGGCUGGACGUGCACAGGUGCUGCAUGGCUGUCGUCAGCUCGUGUCGUGAGAUGUUCGGUUAAGUCCGGCAACGAGCGCAACCCCUGUGAAUAGUUGCUAACAUUAAGAUGAGGACUCUAUUCAGACUGCCCGUAUCAAACGGGGAGGAAGGUGGGGGACGACGUCAAGUCAGUAUGGCCCUUACGCCCAGGGGCUGCACACGUACUACAAUGCCCAGCACAAUGAGAACCAAGACCG